rnacentral:rRNA from 1 species
UACGUAGGGCGCAAGCGUAUCCGGAAUUAUUGGGCGUAAAGAGCUCGUAGGCGGUCUGUUACGUCUGCUGUGAAAACUCGGGGCUUAACCCCGAGCCUGCAGUGGAUACGGGCAGACUAGAGGUAGGUAGGGGAGAAUGGAAUUCCCGGUGUAGCGGUGAAAUGCGCAGAUAUCGGGAGGAACACCGGUGGCGAAGGCGGUUCUCUGGGCCUUACCUGACGCUGAGGAGCGAAAGUGUGGGGAGCGAACAGG